AAUAAUUCAAAGUCUCAAAUAAUUUUUUCUUACGUUUCACACCCCUCUUUCUCCAAACCUCUUAUUGCAAAAUAAAGUAACAAGCAUUCUCUCCUUUACAAGCAUGCAAGGGAAUUUCUAAUGUGUCUCUUCUUCUAUUCACAUAUUGAUGAAGGCCAAAAAUAAAUAUGAAACAGCAGUCCAAGUAAAUGAGAGAAAAAUAUAAACAAGGCUGGUGGGCUAUAUUAUAAAUAGAGGCAUAAAAAAAAAAAGCAAAGCAAGAAAUCAGACGGGCCAAGCAAAUCAAAAUCCGAUCUAAGCCCGAUUCGAAUUUAGCAAGAAAAACCCUCUCAUUUGCUUUACCAAAAGCAAUGUUCACAUUUCAUCUUGGUCAGAAAGCAUAGGGGAGAGAAAGCGAGAGAGCUUCUUUCCUAAGCUAUUCACAGAAGAAGAAAGAAAGAGAAGGUUAGACAAGAAAGGUUGAGGUCAAAUCAGCAAAAUCAAAACAAAUCAAGUUUAGGCAAAGGUUAAAGUCAACAAGAGAAGGUCAAAAGUAAAGUCCCUAAUUUGAGUAAAAAUGGGAGAAAGUGAACGCCUGGGUUGGUGAAGCACAAAGUUGACCUAGGAAGAGGAACCCAGCAACAUACAAGGAGAUAAAAGAAGAUUUUCUGUUCAUUCAGAGGCAAUGAGAGACAACCCAGUGUAUUGAGGUUUUGUUCUGUGAAGAAUUCUCUGAAGGGGUUCAUCUACUUGGACAGUGCUUUCUUUCAAAGAAGCAUUCCGCCAAAAAUGAAGAACUGAAUCAGAGACAUGCAAAUUUGGUUUAUCACAUAGCAAAAAGGCUGUUGUAGAGUCAUUCUCCUUCAUGUUUUUACAGAUUGUGUUUUACUUUUCAAUGUUUAUCUUUCUGUAAUUUCUUGAGUGAAAAGGCAUAAUGAGAGAGCUCAAGAAAAAGCCAUGAGUGAAAAAGGCUGAGUGAUACACUUGAGAGAAAAGCCUAGAGUUAUUUUAGAUUUCUUUAGGUAUAUCUGUGUCUUGUAUCUUGUACCUGUGAGGUAUCCCUUUCUUAGUUGGGUUAGCACUAAGAGUGAAGAGUUAGGUAUUAGCAUAGCCAAUGUCAAGUUAGGUUAGAACUUGAGUAUGAAAGGAUUGUGUCAAUCAUGUGGAAUUGGUGUAUGUAAUACUUUUAACU